rnacentral:rRNA from 1 species
CCUGAUCCAGCAAUGCCGCGUGAGUGAUGAAGGCCUUAGGGUCGUAAAGCUCUUUUACCCGGGAUGAUAAUGACAGUACCGGGAGAAUAAGCCCCGGCUAACUCCGUGCCAGCAGCCGCGGUAAUACGGAGGGGGCUAGCGUUGUUCGGAAUUACUGGGCGUAAAGCGUACGUAGGCGGUUAUUCAAGUCAGAGGUGAAAGCCCGGGGCUCAACCCCGGAACGGCCUUUGAAACUAGGUAGCUAGAGUCUUGGAGAGGUCAGUGGAAUUCCGAGUGUAAAGGUGAAAUUCAUAUAUCUUCGGAAGAACACCAGUGGCGAAGGCGACUGACUGGACCAGUACUGACGCUGAGGUACGAAAGCGUGGGGAGCAAACAGGAUUAAAUACCCUGGUAGUCCACGCCAUAAACGAUGAUGACUAGCUGUCCGGGCACUUGGUGUUUGGGUGGCGCAGCUGACGCAUUAAGUUAUCCGCCUGGGGAGUACGGUCGCAAGAUUAAAACUCAAAGGAAUUGACGGGGGCCUGCACAAGCGGUGGAGCAUGUGGUUUAAUUCGAAGCAACGCGCAUAACCUUACCAUCGUUUGACAUCCCGCGCUAUCCCCAGAGAUCUGGGGUUCCCUUC